CUGUGGUCUCUGAGUUUAGUCUGCUCCCAGCAGGAUAAUGAUCUCAGCUGCUCUGAUAAACCUCUCUGCAGCUCUGCUCUGUGUUGGAGGUCUAGCCGAUGGGAGUGAUGUCACUCAGACUCCUCUGCUGUGGACCAACGAGAGUCAGUCUGCCACCAUGAACUGCAGUCACACUAAAGGUGUUGAUUAUAACCAGAUGUACUGGUACCAACAGCUGCCUGGUCAGAACAUGAAGCAAAUAGUUUUCACCACAGCAUACAGCGCUCACCAGUAUGAACAAGGCUUCAGUAAGGAGAAAUUUCCAGCCGAGAAGAAGGAUUAUUCGACUGGUUCAUUGACAGUGAAGAAUCUGCAGCCUGGAGACAGUGGAGUGUAUUUCUGUGCUGUGAGUCAACACAGUGAUUGAGCUGAUUAAAAGAGCUGCACAAAAACCCAACUGCUGGAGACCCAGAGAACUGAAGACAUCUUUGUUUUAAAUUAACUGUAGAGGGAGCUAAAGACCAAAAUAAACUUUGUAUU